AUUGAACGCUGGCGGCAUGCUUUACACAUGCAAGUCGAACGGUAACAGGCCUUCGGGCGCUGCCGAGUGGCGAACGGGUGAGUAAUGCAUCGGAACGUACCCAGAGGUGGGGGAUAACGCAGCGAAAGCUGUGCUAAUACUGCAUGUGAUCUGAGGAUGAAAGCGGGGGACCGAGCAGCAAUGUUUGGCCUCGCGCCUUUGGAGCGGCCGAUGUCGGAUUAGCUAGUUGGUGGGGUAAAGGCCUACCAAGGCGACGAUCCGUAGCUGGUCUGAGAGGACGACCAGCCACACUGGGACUGAGACACGGCCCAGACUCCUACGGGAGGCAGCAGUGGGGAAUUUUGGACAAUGGGCGCAAGCCUGAUCCAGCAAUGCCGCGUGCGGGAAGAAGGCCUUCGGGUUGUAAACCGCUUUUGGCAGGAACGAAACGGUGUCCGCUAAUACCGGGCGCUAAUGACGGUACCUGCAGAAUAAGCACCGGCUAACUACGUG
rnacentral:rRNA from 1 species